CGCGCUUAUAGACGUCACCGCCGGAAGCCCCGUCGCGUCGUUUCCGCCCGUUGCCGCCGGCCGGUGUCGCCGACCGCGAUGAGCAAGCGGAAGGCCCCGUCCGGGAGCCCCAACCAGGGCAUCACGGACCUGCUGACGGAGCUUGUGAACUACGAGCGGAACGUCAACCGGGCCAUCCACAAGCACAACGCCUACAGAUACCGCCUCCCCCCCCCCCCCCCGCCCUGCGUGGGGCUGCAGGGCCCCGCCGGGGCUGGGCGCUGAGCCCUGAGCCGAGCAUUUCCACACAAAGGCUGCGUCCGUCAUCGCCCUGUACCCCAGCGAGAUACGGAGAGGGGCCGAAGCCAAGAAGCUGGAUGGAGUUGGUGCUAAAAUAGCAGAGAAAACUGAUGAGUUUUUAUCCACUGGCAAACUACGCAAAUUGGAAAAGAUUCGACAAGAUGAUACAAGUGCAUCUAUCAACCUCCUGACACGAGUUACUGGCAUUGGGUAAAGCUUAGUUAUUUUGGUGGUGUUUUGUUGUUGCUUGUUCACUUGCUUGUUUGUUCUUGUUUGUUUUAUUUGGUGGAGUUAUAAACAGAAGUUGUGUGAUUAUAAAUUCUGAAAAGAA